UACAGAGGGUGCUAGCGUUAAUCGGAAUUACUGGGCGUAAAGGGUGUGUAGGUGGUUUGAUAAGUUAGAUGUGAAAUCCCCGGGCUUAACCUGGGAACUGCGUUUAAAACUGUUGAACUAGAGUACUGUAGAGGAUAGUGGAAUUUCCAGUGUAGCGGUGAAGUGCGUAGAUAUUGGAAGGAACACCAGUGGCGAAGGCGACUAUCUGGACAGAUACUGACACUGAGACACGAAAGCGUGGGGAGCAAACAGGAUUAGAUACCCUGGUAGUCCAUGCUGUAAACGAUGAGAACUUGCUGUUGGAUGCAUAAAAGCAUUUAGUAGCGAAGCUAACGCGAUAAGUUCUCCGCCUGGGGAGUACGGCCGCAAGGCUAAA
rnacentral:rRNA from 1 species